CAACGAAAUUUGCCCUUCGGGCAAGUGAAAUAGCUUCGCUGUGAAAUAUUUGCUUUGCAAAUGUGAAAUAUUCG
rnacentral:sRNA from 1 species